AUUAAAACAUAAUAGGGAGUCCUGAAUACAUUCAGACUUUCGUCUCCUUCACCCCAAUCUUUGUUCCCAACAUCAUUCUUUGUCCCCCCGACACUUGUUAUUCGCCGCUGACGUCUUCUCUUUUUCCUCUUCCUCCUCCUAUCAUUUUUCUAAUCGAGCUCCAAGGGUACACACUUUACUUUUAUCUGGAUCGCAGUUAUCUUGGUUUUCAGUCUUCGGUCUCUUUGUUCGGCUCUAAGUAAUCUGAGUAGGGGGAGGUGCUUGCAAAAGACACUCCGACGCUCAAGUAAAUGAUCAACGCAAUAAAUGCAGUAGUUCGAAGUUAGUUACGUACCUCAUUGGGUGCUUAUUUAUAGUGGUUCUUGUUGGGCUGUGAUUAGGAACUAGGCCCCGGAAAAUUAGGAGACUAAAACGGCACAUUACGUAAAUUAAUCUCUCCUUAAUUGCCUGGUUUAGCUUCGUCUCGCUAUGUGUUCGGACCCAACUAGCCAUCUGGCCGACUUGGCCGAUCACACCCUAGCCGAGACGACCCGAGCGGUCGUGCUCGGCGUGGUCAUUCUGAUCGGCAAAGUCGUGUGUUCGGUUUGGUCGGUUACCCUCCGGUAUACCUUCCUUCUUUUUUUAUUCUCAUUCUGGUAUGCGUAUGUAGAGCUAAAUAUUUUAUACAUGUAAAUAUUUAUGUUACUUCUUUCAA